rnacentral:rRNA from 1 species
UACGAAGGGGGCUAGCGUUGUUCGGAUUUACUGGGCGUAAAGCGCACGUAGGCGGAUUGUUAAGUCAGGGGUGAAAUCCUGGAGCUCAACUCCAGAACUGCCUUUGAUACUGGCAAUCUUGAGUCCGGAAGAGGUGAGUGGAACUCCUAGUGUAGAGGUGGAAUUCGUAGAUAUUAGGAAGAACACCAGUGGCGAAGGCGGCUCACUGGUCCGGUACUGACGCUGAGACGCGAAAGCGUGGGGAGCGAACAGG